GUUAAUAUAAUAAGAACGCUUGGAUUCCCACGUCCGUUCUGGAUGUGUUCGCCAAUUCAUACAAUACGAAACCGCCGCUUCGCUCCCUACACUCCCUCUCUCUCGACUCUGCGUCCUCUCUGUACCACACACACUUACGUCCACCUCGCAUUCUUCUUUUUCUUUUCUGCCUAAAUAUUACAUACAUACUCUGAGAUAUUGCUUCCUCUCAUCGGUACCUCACUCCUUGUAACCGAAAUUAAUUUGGAGUCUUGGGGAGAAUCACUGAAUCUGAAUUUUCAGAAUACCCAGUAGGAGCAACCAUGAUCAGUAGGAGGGCCUGCUUUCGCAAUUUGAUCCAAUCUCUAAGAACGGGUUCCACUGCAUCUAAGGUUAUCUUCCGCUCGUCAUUUUUUUUUUUUUUUAAUUAUGAUUCCAAGGACCAUUUCCUGAUUUCGAUAUACUCUACUUACUCUGAACCUUUUAUAGAGUUGAAAAUUUUCCUCUGGUUUUUAUCAUUUCAUACGACUUGUAAGUUUGUCUGCUGAACUUGUGGGGUUUCAAUUGUCUGGGUUUUUCUCGCAGGUUUGGUAUUGUAUGUGUCUUUUGGUGCUUUCUUUUAACGUAUAGUUCUUGCUUAACAUGUUGCUUUGUAGAUGAUUUCUAAUCUCUGUAUCAAUGUCCUUUCUUUUCUGUGCUUGUCUUUUAUAUUUGUUAUUGUUUUUGUUUUAACCACGGAGAUGACUAAUUUAGGGAGAGAUUAAUCCGAUUGAAUUAGUUUCAGCCCUGGAAAUAGGAAUCUGACGGUUCUGAAUUCAGCCUUUUGAAUGGUACGCAUAGCUUGGAUCAAAUCCGUAGCGGGUGGAACAACCUUGUAGAUGAUUGAUCCAACACUUUUAAAUGGUUAUUUUAUUUAAAUUCCAGUUAAAUUGGAGGCCUCAGUGGAUGUGACUAUUAAAUAGAAGAUGAUCCACAGAUUUAUUAGUAUUUUGAUUAUUCAUUGAGAACCAAUAUUUUCCGGCAGAGACAUUCAAAAAUGUUGACUGGGUUUCUUGUGUAAAAUGACAGCUGCAGUUGUAUCAAUAAAUAUUGAAAUCACGCGCCUUUGUUUUGCUUAUAGGCUACAAUCCAUUUCCCAUGUUCCUCAAUGAUGUGUCGUUGAUCAAUUGUAUACAUGAUAGAGAUCAAGAUGAAAACAGUACAAACUUAUCUAAUUUUCGUGCAUAUUUGCAGCUUAGAUCUUCCAAUUGCUAUACGUCAAGGACUGCACCUUCCUUGCAACCAGUGGUCGAGCUCUCUCCUGAUAGGUAACUGCGCAAAAUGAGGCAAUUCGAUACUAAUUACUUGGUUGCUUCCCUGCAAAUGUGUUCUACCGAAUAGUGAAUCCCACUGUUACACAACCAGAAUUUCUUAGACUGGUUAAUUUUCACCUCUUUGAUGCUCAAGCCCCCUCAAUUAUAAAUCUAUACUGUUGGGGUGUCCAUAUUUCAGGCAGUUUUUCAGGUUUUGUGUUAAUGCCCAACACCAAUUAUCUGCAUGAGAUUAUGUAACAUUGUUCAUUUAAUGUAAUUAUAAUUGUUGUACUGCUAGUGAUGAUGAGUACGCUGAUGUGGACUGGGACAACCUGGGAUUUUCUCUAAGACCCACCGAUUACAUGUACAUAACAAAAUGCUCCGGGGGUGAUAGUUUUGAAGAAGGCCAUCUUAGUCGCUAUGGAAAUAUAGAGUUGAGCCCUUCUGCUGGUGUGUUAAAUUAUGGACAGGUAACUAGAUUGUAUUCUUAAUUACUUGUGCUAAAGCAAACAGCAUAUUUGAUGUUGUAUCUUUUAACUACCUUCAGGGUUCUAAUGUAAAGUUGGUGGUUUUGAAAUCUGAACAGGGGCUGUUUGAAGGCACCAAAGCAUAUAGGAGAGAAAAUGGGCGCCUCUGCCUCUUCCGCCCUGAUCAGAAUGCCAUCCGUAUGCAGGCUGGUGCAGAAAGAAUGUGCAUGCCUUCCCCAUCCAUCCAUCAAUUUGUAGAAGCUGUCAAGCAAACUGCAUUCGCUAACAAGCGCUGGGUAAUUGUCUUACCGUACUUGUUCUACAUCUAUGUUGCAUUAGAAGCUCUAUGUUUUUAUUUAAUAAACAUGUCUGUCCUUCUAGUUUAUAAAUUUUUUGUUUUGAUGUGAAGCAGAUUCCUCCUCCAGGAAAAGGGUCACUGUAUAUUAGGCCUUUGCUCAUGGGGAGUGGACCCGUAUUGGGUUUAGGCCCAGCACCUGAAUGCACAUUCCUCAUAUAUGCUUCCCCUGUUGGCAACUAUUUCAAGGUGGGGUUUCUUAUUUUAUCAAAGCCUGGUUUUGCUUCAGCUAAGGCAAGAAGAAUUUAUGUGCUCUGUUGAUUCAUUUUGCAGGAGGGUUUGGCACCCUUAAACCUAUUUAUUGACGAUGAGUAUCAUCGUGCAACACGUGGAGGGGCUGGAGGGGUGAAAACCAUUACCAAUUAUUCUCCUGUAAGUGAAUCAGUGUCUCAUUUAGUUGUAAAAUAAGCUCAUUGCUUUCAACUCCUUGAAUGCCACAAAAUAUGCUCAUUUUCAAAAAAUGACUUGUGUCUAAAGUGUUAGGUUGUAACUAUGGAAUGUAAAUUUACAUUGUUUCUUGCUGCCAAAUUAUUGAUGCCCCCCUUGAAACUAUGUUAUCUAUUAUAUCACAUCCUUUCUCGUCUUGUGUAGGUUUUGAAAGCACUAACUAGAGCAAAGAGCAGAGGGUUCUCUGAUGUGCUAUACCUUGAUUCAGUGUAUAAGAAAAACAUCGAGGAGGUCUCUUCUUGUAACGUCUUCAUUGUGAAGGUACUGUUGAAAUUACAUUUCUCGUUAAUUUAAUUAUUCUCACCUGGUACCUAAUUGUUAUCUUCACUGGAUGUGACUCUAACGAAGAAGUGAAAACAUAAGUGAUUAGCAGCUUAGAUUGUUCAAAACAACUUGGACAGAGAAUUUUGAAAUUGGAUAGACAUAGAGGCAGAGCUUCUUAGAGUGCACUUUUCCACCAUUUCAGGAUAAUGUUAUUUCAACUCCGGCCACAGGAGGAACCAUUCUUGAAGGAGUGACUCGAAAAAGCAUCGUCGACAUUGCACUUGAUCACGGUUACCAGGUAAAUGUCCAGUAACUUGGUAAAAACAAUAAGCUAAUUUCUGUACUUAUAUGUUCGGAUAAUGUCCCAAAUGGGUUAGGUUAAGGAGCAAUGUAUUCCAGUGGAGGAAGUGAUGGAAGCCGAUGAAGUUUUCUGCACCGGAACCGCUGUUGGUGUAGCUGCGGUGGGAAGCAUUACAUAUCAGGGUAAAAGGUAAAUAGUCAUACCUAAGAUCACAAAGAACCUCUGUAAAGGGGAAAUAAUUAAGUUCAUACUAGUGUUGCCUGCCACUAAUUUUCUUUUGUUGAUGAAUUAAAUAUGAAUACGCAGGGUGGAAUACAAAAUGGGUGAUCAGUGUGUGAGUCAGGAACUGUUCUCAACGUAUAUGGGGAUUCAAAAAGGUGAUAUCGAGGACAAGAAAGGCUGGAUUCUGGAGAUUGAUUAAGCUUUAUAGCCACCUCAUCUACAGCACUUGUACAUGGUACUGCUAAGAGCAUGGUAUUCCUAAUAAAAUUAAUGUUCACGUCAAAGGCAUCGAUAUCUAAACUGGUUUCCAUCUUUAACCAAACAUCACUUUUUGAAUCCUUAUCCUCCACGACCAUAUCGCAAUCAACUUUAGUUUCCUUUCCCCCUUGAUCCUAUCACUCAUCCUUAUCUUCCCCACUCACUCUUUCCACAUUUUUAUUGCCAUCGAUUUUGAAGGAGUAAAAAAAUUAAAGACUAUUUUCGGAAUUAGCUUUCAUUUUUUUUUUUUAACAUAACUUUAAAAAUAUUUUAAAAUUUUAAUAAAAAUUAAAAUAAUUAAAGUUAUAUCUCUAAUUAAUUUUUUUGGGCCUUUAUUUUUAUUUUAUACUAUUGUAAAAACAGUAAAUUUAACUUAAUUAAAAUGACAAUAUUUAUUUUAAAAAUAAAAAUAAAACAUGAAAAGUUGAAUUUUAGAUAAUUUAAUGAUCCGUUUGAUUAAAAUGUGACAUUUAUAUUACAACAUAGAAAUUCUUUAAAGUUUUAAUACCCUCGUGUGGACCCCGCAUUUCGGCUCAUGCGUUUCCCACUCGAAUGGCGAGCUCGAUUUUAUUUCGAAAAAUUGAUUUUUAUUUGAUUAAGAAAAUUGACUUGGAGUCGCCACUUAUUUUUGUUUUAUUUUUAAAAGGGUAAACAAAAUAAGAAAGAAAAACCCUAAGUGUGACUCCUUACUUUGGAAAAGAUGGUCUGUGAAAAACCGGAUCGGGUUCGGGGGUCAGGUUACUUAUCGGGAAGGUAUGGUAACGACCGUAGCACCCCUCUAAGUCCCUAAAAACAGGUCUCUACUAAUAAAAUGAAGCUGACGUGGCAAUCGAAUAAGAAAGUCAAUGGAUACUCACAUCAAUCAUGCAUAUAUGAGAAUCAGAAUAUGUAUAGUGAAUGAUCAGAAUGAGUGAAUGCAUACCUGGGCAGCAAGCAGCAACGCGCUAUCAAGAGACAGGAUUAGCGAAUGACGAAUAGAUAAGAUUAUGCGCAUGCCAAGGAACAAAAAUAAAUCAAACAAACAUGGUAAAUAAAUCAAUCAAUCAAUCAGUCACUCAUAAAAUCACAUAUGUGGGGCCCCCACCAAAGCUCGAUUGAUUUUUCCUGAAUUAAUCUCGCGAAUCCCAUUAUUUCAAAAUUAUGAAGAUUCAUCAUUCUUGCUUGUGUAAAAAUCAAAAGAAAUGGAAUAUUAUUUAAAAAUCGGAGUGGAAUUAAAGCUAUUUGAGAGAAAAUUGGAUGUUUGAGAUUUAUUUGGAAAUUAGAGUCUUGAAAAUUAUUUGAAGAUUGGAGUCUUGAAAAUUAAAUUUAAGAAUUGGAAUUUCGGAUAUUAAAUUUGAAAGAAACUAGAAUUUUGGAAAUCGGAAAUUGAAUUCAGAAAUUAGAAUUUUGAAGAAUUGUUUAAAAGGGCAUUUCAAAAUAAAUAACUAAAAUAAUAAUAAUUAAAUAGAUUAAUGUGAGUAUUGGAAUUUUGGAAUUAUAACUUAAAAUCGAAAGUCGGAAAUUUUAAUGAAUUGUUUAAAAUGGAAUUUUAGAAUAAGUAAAUAACAUAAUAAUAAUUAAAUGAAUUAACGUGAAUAGUGAAAUUUUCAGAAAUAGAAAUUUAAUUCAGAGAUCGAAAGUUUUAAAUGAAUUGUUUAAAAUAGAAUUUUAGAAUAAAUAAAUAACAUAAGAAUAAUUAAAUAAAUCAAUGUGAAUAUUGGAAUUUUCAAAAAAUAGAAAUUUAAUUCGGUAAACGGAAAUUUUAAUGAAUAGAUUAGUUUUAAAAUAAAUGAAUAAAGUAUUAGUGAUUAAAUAAAUUAAAGUGAGUAUGAGAACUUUAGGAAAUUGGAAUCGAAUUCUAAAUGUCGGAAUUUUGAAGUAUUAUUUAAAGGUUGAAUUUUUAUAAAUUGGGCUUGGAAAUUGGAAGUUAGAAAGUUUGAAUUAAUAAUAAUAAUAAGAAUAAGAUUUUUGAAAGUUGAGGUAAUAAUAACAAUAAUGAUGAGAUUUUUGAAAGCUUGAAUUAAUGAUGAUAAUAAUAAUAAAUAAAUUUUGAAAGUUUGAAUUAAUACUAAUGAUGAUAAAAAGAUUUUGAAGGUUGAAUUAGUAAUAAUCAUAGGAUUUUAAAAGUUUGGAUUAAUGAUAGUAAUAAUAAUGAUAAGUGGAUUUUGAGAGUUGAGUUAAUAAUAAUUAUAAUAGUAAUUAAUGAUAAUAAUAAUAAUAAUUAUAAAUGUUGGAAGUUUGAGUUAAUACUAAUAAUGAUAAAAAGAUUUUGAAGGUUGAAUUAAUAACAAUCAUAGGAUUCUAAAAGUUCGGAUUAAUGAUAGUAAUAAUAAUGAUAAGUAGAUUUUGAGAGUUGAGUUAGUAAUAAUUAUAACAAUAAUUAAUGAUAAUAACAAUAAUAAUGAUAAUAAUGAUUAAUGAUAACAAUAAUAAAUAUAAUGAUAACAAUGAUUAAUAAUAAUGGCAACAAUUAUAAUGACAAUAAUAAUAAUAAUAAUAAUGAUAGCAAUGACAAUAAUAAUUAAUGGUAAUAAUAAUAAUAAUUAUAAUGAUAAUAAUGAUUAAUAAUAAUAAUAAUAAAUAUAAUGAUAACAAUGAUUAAUAAUAAUGGUAACAAUUAUAAUGGCAAUAAUAAUAAUAAUAAUAAUAAUAAUAACAAUAAUAAUAAUUAUAAUGAUAAUAAUGAUUAAUAAUAAUAGUAAUGAAUAUAAUGAUAACAAUGAUUAAUAAUAAUGGUAACAAUUAUAAUGACAAUAAUAACUAAAAAUAAUAAUAAUAAUAAUUAUGGUAAUAAUAGAAAUGGGCUCAAGACAAAGGCCCCAUCUUCAGCAUAGGCUUGGGCCUGAGCUCCAAGUUCAAACCCAAGCCCAAAGCCUUCAUAAUCCAAACCCAAUGCAAACAUUAAAAAAAAAAAAGCCCAUCUCUAUCAAGGCCCAAAUUCUAAUUCCAUCACAGCCCAUUUAUUUGAGGAAACAUGCUACCCUCCAUCAACGAACUUGGAUUGGGCUCCAACUCAAGCCCAAGGUCCAUCAUGGGCAAGCCCAAGCCGGUCACCCACGCAAACUCCAUCACAGCCCGAGGCAUCUCCCUCCAUCUGGGCAGCUUUCUCAGACGAGACCUCCACCAGCAGCGACGUAGAGGAGAGGGGAAGCGGCGGCGGUCCGACGUCGUCCAAGAGGCGUCGCCGUUGUCGCUGGUGACCAUUGCGGCUGUCCAGGCGGUCAGAGCAAGUCGAGGCGAGCCACGCCGACGUCGAGGGAGGAUCCGUUCGCGACCUCGAGGCGCGCCCGCUGCAGCUGGGGUGGCAGUGCCAUUUGGGGGUAGGCUUGGGGCGGCGGAAACUGGUGCCUGCGGAGGAGCUCACGAGGAUAGAGGAUGGCGGCGAGCAUGGGCAAUGGUGAGUUGAGAGGGGAUAGUUUUUACAGGUAUUGGAAAAUGAAGGUGAGAGUUAGGGGUGGUCUUUGCAUGGCGGGGUGUGGGGAUAUGAGUAUGGGUAUGGUUAGGUGAUGUGGAUGAACGAGAGAAAUGGUGAGGGAAUGAGGGUAAGGAUAGGUUUGGUGUGCAUGGGUGUCGCGGGUUUAGAGAGAGAAGUAGAUGCAGGGAAGGAUUGAUGAAGAAGGAGAGAGGAAUAACAUGAUUAAUGAAAGGUUCGGCAAAUAAAUCCAUAUAGAAAGCUAUAUAUCAAACAAAUCCAUGUGACUCAGUAUACAAUGAAAUCAUAUGACAAUGCUCAGGUAUCCAGAUCAGAGAUAAUUAAAACCAAUGACUGAGGAAGCAUGCAUGAGAAAGGCUCCAAGGACUCAUACCUGUGAUGCCCUUCAAGACGUCCCCCUCAAGCUUUUCCUCCUUCUCCUCUUUCUCCGAUCUCUCCUCCUUGAUAUUUUCUUUCCCGCUCUUCUUUGACAGCCCCCCUCCUACUCUCUGUCUCGCGUCCCAUCUCGCCGCCACCUAGAGCAGCCCACUUGAGAGCCCUCAGAAAAGCAACCAAAAAAUAAUGAUAAAUAAUCCCAGAAAAAAAACUCUCUCUUCGGGGGGGGUCUACACCUCGCUUUAUAGGUUCCUUAAGAAAAAAAUGAAACAUUAGUUUUUCGUUGGUCUUCCUCGAUUUACGAUCUAAUUGAAAUUCUUAUUAAAAUUUAUUGAGUUUAUUUUUAAUUUUUAAUUAUUUUUAAAAAUUACUAUGUUUAAUAAUUCAAACAAAUUAAUUCUUGCUUUGGUUUGCUUGGUUUAUAGUUUAUUUAUCUAAUAUGAAAAUUCCUAAAAAUUAUAGUUACUUGUAGAAGAGAAACAAUAGAUUAAUUGUAAAUUAAUUUUUGUGAGUUUUUAACCUUGAGUUAUUUUUUAAGAUUAAUAGACUUAUUAUUAAAUCAGUGCAUUAAAUCUUACUUAAUUUAAAAUUUAUUUAUUUAAUAAAAAAAUUAAAAAAUAUGAUUGCGUGUUUUAUUAUCGAUCAAUUUUUUAUUUAUAAAUUUUUUAUCAUUUUCUAAAUAUUUAAAUUUUAAAUUAUUUUAAAAAUUAUUUAACUCAUUAAUAAAUUCAUUAUAGUAAAUCUUACUUGAUUUAAAUUUUAUUUAUUCAAUAAGAUCGAAAAAUACAAUUAGGUCUAAAAAUUAAAACAAUUAAGUCAAUUUUAAUGCAUGACUUUUGACAUUAAUUAAAUCAAUUUAUAAGUUUUAUAUUAUUUUUAAAAACCAGUAAAAUUAUGUAUUAAUUCAUGAACUUGUUUUUUUAAUAAAAAAAUAUUAAAAAUUGUGAAAAAACUUAUAAAUAGAAUUUGGGGACCUCGACUAAAUGAUUUAUUUUUUUAAACGAUUUAUUUUAUUUUUAAAAAUAGAGAAAAAUAAUUCUUACUUAUUACUUUUUUUUUAUUUCACUUUAAUUUUUUAAAACGAUUUCAAUAAUUACCAAAUAAUAUUAUAAUUUUUUUUAAAAAAAUUGUUUUUAAAAAAUAAAAAAUUAUUUAAAAAUCAAUAGACUUUAAGACCCUUAAAUGCAUCCGAUACUUGGGGUCUGCUACAAGUCCCAUGGUUGAAUAGACCCAGGAAUCAACCAUGGUUAAAACCAGAUGUGGACUCAAACGACCCUUGGAAUCUGUUCUUGUUAACCCAGAAUUUGUGCGUUUGUUGGAUGCUUUUGAGGUUCCCAUAAUCGAUGAAGCCUUCAAUGGAAAUACAAUCAGGUCUUUCAUGGAUGAAUUGAAGGCAGUUGGGGUGGCUGUUGAUCUUAGCAGAGCAUUAAAGCUGAUAGUCACUCAAUUUAAGUCAUUCUUAUCUUCUUCCAGCCUGACUCCUUUCAAAGUGAUUUCACUACUAGAAUGCAUCAGAGAAAUGAAUGAAAAACUGCCUUCACAUUUGCAGGAACUCCAUCAAUGCUUGUUGGGGGAGAAGUGGUUAAGGACUUGUAAUGGUUACAGGACCCCCAGUGAAUCAAUACUAUUCAGCUCUAAAUGGGGAACCAUAUCUUUAUUUGUUGAUCUUCCUCUCAUUGAUGAUUCCUUUUAUGGUAUUGUCAUAUAUGGCUUUGAGGAUGAGCUAAAGAUGCUGGGGGCCAUAACUGAAUUCGAAGGAGGAGCUCCAUUUGUAGCCAGAGGUCUAACCCGACCAAUUGAACCUCGAUUUGUGACUGACUUGGGUACAAUUGCAUUGCUAGAAUGUAUCAAGUAUCUAAUCUCAAAGUCUAAGGAGCAGACAUUACUUGAUAAUUUGUUUAGCAAUUUAAUGAGAAGCAAGUCGUUGAAAACUAGGAAAGUUUACAAAAAACCUGAGGAAUGUAUCCUGUUUGAUCCAACCUGGAAAGUUAUUCUGGAGGAGACUGAUGCCCCAGUGAUUGAGCAUACAUUUUACAAAACUGAAAUAUUUAUGUACAAGAAUCAGUUGAGGGCCAUUGGAGUUAAGGUGGAUCCUGGGGAUGUAUGCUCUCUUCUGUCAAGGUAUCUUAUGUCACUUACAGAGACUUCUUCAAUUACUAGGACAUACAAUUUCCUCCACAUGUUCAAUUGGAAGCCAGAAUUGCCGGAUAAAUCAGACUAUCAGGUAUGGGUUAUUAACCACAAUGAUAACUGUGAGUGUUUAGCUAGGUUGGCAAUUCCGGACAAAAUUCCUAAGUGUCCCCUAACUCGGCUUUCCUAUUCCUAUUCGGACUACUUGACUUUGAAGACUAAGACUUUGCUAAGAGGCCAAGGUAUGUAGUCGAGUGUGUGGUGAUUGGGUGUGAAUCAACCCGGUUUUUAAUCUUUAAAUGUGUUAGAAAGUUUGGAAAAAUGGUUUUUGGUGCAAGGCUUUUAUUCGUCUGUUUCUGGAUCGAUCCAGGUGUAGGGGUGGAUCUAUCCAACUAAUGUUUUUUUGAUCAAAUCUCAGCCAUUAGAUUAAGGGUUUAUUUUUACACUUUAAAACCAAAUCUUCUAUCAUUUUCUGUGGAGAGAGACUGCUGAAAACGUGGGGAGAGCAGCCACACUCCAAGUGUUCUUCAUUUCUCAUUUUUGCUUUCCUAAGUUGGGGUUUUUGAUUGCAAAGAAAAUCCACUUCUCUUAAUGUUUUCAAAACUAGUUUUCAAUGGAUUUUCUUGAGCAAUAAAGGGGUUGAUUCAUUUCUUCAUUCACAUCUAAAUCUCUCAUUCUAUUUGGGUUGUGCAAAAACCCAUUUUCUUCUUGUGUUGAUUCAAGAAGAGGCCGAGAUUGAGCUUGGUGCGGACUCCAAGUGUGCUCCAACAGGAGAAGCUGAAAAUGAAGGUACUAGUCAAGUAUUCCGGGAAGGAUUGGUUGGCUUGAGCUAGGUAAAACCUUGUACUCAGUUUUUAUUCUUCAUAGUGGAGUUUUCAAUCGGCGAUAGGCCCGUGGUUUUUGAUAUCUUCGGAGGUUUUCCAUGUUAAAAAUCUGGUGUUCAUUGUCUCUUUCUCUCACUCUAUAUUUUGAUUUAUUUUUGAGGAGUGUUGAAGCAUUUGCAUGUGUUUUGCAUUUAUAAAUUGUUGGGAGAGUGUUGAUGCAUACAUUAUUGCUUGUGGAUGUUUUGCUUUGUUAAAAAGUUAUUGGAAGAAAAAUUUCUUGACAUUAAGAUAGUCUAAGGUUAGGUAAUCUUUGUUGGAAUGAUUUUUUAAAUUGUUCUACAACACCUAUUCACCCCCCUCUAGGUGUAGUUCAUUAUUGAGAUUCACAUUUUCAAUAACAGUGGAGAAGAAUGGGUGAAUUCUCAGCUUCGCAUACUUCAUGACAAGGACAAUCUAUUUGAUUCCCACUAGUAUGCUCUUGACAAAUGUUACCAGAAGGAACUGUUGCCCUUUUUCUCUUCAGCAUUUGCAGUUGCUGAAUUUCCUUCCAUUGAUGAUUACAUGGGGCUCUGGGACAUCUGGGUCCUGAGAGUUAAUAGUCAAGUGACUGCCAAAGGAUGCUGCUCUUUUUUGGGACUACAUUUUGAAGAACUGGAAUCCGCACACAGAGGAUAUCCUGAAGAAGAGGUUAACCAAAGUACCCCCCACCACAUCUACAAGUGAGAGAAUCCAUCUAGUGAACAAGGAACUGGUGUUUAUCCCUGACGACUUGUAAUUGAAACAUUUUUUUUUUCUAGUAUCGAUGGAAUUCCACUCUUUGUAUGGCUGCUCAAGUGCAAGAGCUUAUCUACUAUUCAUCCAAGGAGGUUCUUUGAGAUUUAUGAGUCUCUUUGGAGUAAGAAAGAUGUCUGGUUCUGUUGAGUGCCAUGCGAGUAUUUCACAUUCUUUGGAUCAAUAUAAGAUGGAUCCGAGAAAUGGAUUGAUAGGAAGAGGUCUUGUCAGUAUUUGAAAGCAGUGAACCAAUUCUAGUCAGUUAUCAAUUACUAUUGUCUGCAUACAAAACAUUGGAAGUAGAAGCAAGGAAGCUGGUUUUUUGGGACAAGAAUUCUUGUAGGCUGCUGAUUGAUAAAUCAGGUUAUGAAGAUCGAAAAUCGAAUAUUAAAUUUGUGAGUUGUUUUGCAUGUGAAAUUGCUGAAGGACUAUUGGCAUGUGUAAAAGCUGAUGCAAUCGAAAACCUGAGUAAGACAAGUGAGUAUGUUUGAGUUCAAGGAGAAAUCCAUGUUUCUUUUGCUUACAAGUGAGUAUUUGGAGCUGUUUGCGGAGGAUGAGAAGUUCCUUGAUGCUGCAUUCCUCUUGCCAAAACAGUGUCCAGUGAUAAGAUAUCUUCCCAUCUUGCCUCCAAUAGACGACAAGUCACAACUGCUGACUCAACCAAACCUCAAGGAGAGUCGGAGAAAAGUUCCAAACUAUCCAGAUCCUCCAAAGUCCAGUUCUCAACAGCUGGAGUUAUUAAGCCCACCCAUGCCAGAAUCUUCCCAGAAGAAGCCUCGACAAUGAUGGAGUUAUUAAUUCCAGGAGUUUCUGUUUAGUGAUAAAUUUUUUAAAAUUUGAGAUAAUACUUUUUUUAAUACCUCAAUUUUUUAAAAUAAUUUUGAAAGUCACCGUCUUUCAAAAUUAGUCCCAAACAUUAUCAUUUUUUCUAUUUUUAAAAAUAAAAAAUGUAUACUUGAAUUUUAUAAUAACAUAAUUGCAGAAAAACCCCUUUUUCAGAGGAUAGGAAAUUAAUGUUUGGAAUAAAAAGAAAAUAAGGAUAUUUGAAAAUCAUACUUAAAAAAGUGUUUUUUAAUAACCACAAAAACCUUUUUGUGCAAAAACAUUUAUUAAAUUUCUUAGUGCUUUAUUUUAUAAUAUCUUCUUAACCUGUUUAAUAUGCAUAUAUAUAAGAUUUAAAUUUCAUUUUGCACUAAAAUUUUUAAUUUUAUUAAAAAAUAUUAAAUUAAUUAACAGAUCCAUAAAUAACAAGUAUAUGUUGUUUUUGCAACUGACGAAGAGCUCAUACUGGAGUCCUAUUUUUGCUCAACUACUUUCCAUUUUGUCAAAACGUAAUGGAGAAUGGCUCCCCAACGUUUACUUCAUCUCCAAAUAUAAAAAUAUCGAAAAUUAUGUAUAUAUCGAUACUUCGGAUAUAUACUGACGUAUAUUUUAAAAAUAUAUAUAUAAAAUUGAUUAAAAUUUAUAAAAAUAUAAAAAAAAUUCAUAAAAAUGUACUUAGAAGUGUAAUAGAUAUUUUAAAGUUAUUUUAUUAAAGAAUUUGAUAUAUGUAUAAUAUGAUUUAUGAUAAUAAUAUCGUAUGUUUCAAUAAAAAUAUGAAUUUUAUAAAUAUACAUUUAUUAUUAAAUUACAUAAAAUAUUAUUUCAUAAUUUAUUAUGAUAUUUGAUUAUAAUAUGUCUAUAUUUUAAAAUAUAUAUAUAUAUUAAUAUUAAAAUUAUAAUUUAUUUAAUUUAAUUGUAUUAAAUGAUAUAAAAUAAAUUAUGAUAUAUGUACAUAUUUUUAAUAUUUAAUUAAUUUAUUAAUGAUAUUAAAAACACUAUAAAUAUUUAAUUAUAAAAUAAUUAUAAUUAAUUUACUUUCUAAAAUUUUCUUUACAUGAUGAAUUUGAAUGUAUAUUUUUAAUACAUUACAUCUGUAACACAUUCAACAUCAUAUAUAUUGCGAAAAAUCGGCAAUUUAUCGCCAUAUCGUAGAUUUUUGACGAUUUCUUUCAAAAUUUCAUCCUAUAUUUCUCCAUUAAAUACCGUAUUCAUACUAUCCGAUACACAAUAUACCAGCCAAUAUAUCACGAUAUUUUCUUCCAUGCUUAUUUCAACUAUAUUUUUAAAUAAAAAGAAAAUGAUAAUUAUACCAUUUUAGGUGCCGUCGGCCAAUCUACUUUACCAAUAUGAAUAUAUCAAACGUUUGCAAGCUUUAGUGCUUUACACAAACAUAAGACAAAUCUACAUUUUAUAAAAAUUUAUUCAAUAUUGUGCUUUAAUGUUCCUAUUUUUAAAAUGGAAAAAAACUAAAUUUAAUACUUAAAAUGUUUAUAUGAAUCUAAUGCUAAAUUUUUUAAUAAUAAUGUUGAAUUUUAUUAAAUAUAUUUGCUAUCUGGGUGUUCAAUGUGCUUAACUGCUUAUACCAAUAUUUGCAAGUUUUUCACCAAUAGAAAUUUAAUAAAGAUAAAUCCUAAUAGAAACUUUGUAAAAUUUCCUUCCAUAAGCAACGCUGCCAGGUCAGAGGACAUGUGGAAAACAUGUACGUUUUUUAUUUAUUUAUAUUUACUUUUUUGGAUUGUCACUGAUUCACUCUGCGACUGAGAUUUUCUGACGUGGCGUUGGGCGAGACCUCAUGGAUUAGAAGUGCAUCGCCACCUAUGCUAUCCAUUAAGGUUAAUAUGAUAAGAACGCUUGCAUUCCCCCCGGUGGGUUCUGGCCUAGAUGUGUUCGCCACUUCAUACAAUGCUAAACCGCCGCUUCGCUCCCUAGACUCCCUCUCUCUCGAGUCUGCGUCGUCUCUGUACCACACACACUUACGUCUACCUCGCAUUCUUCUUUUUCUUUUCUGCCUAUAUAUUACAUACGUACUCUGAGAUUGCUUCCUCUCAUCGGUCCCUCACUCCUUGUAACCGAAAUUAAUUUGGAGUCUUGGGGAGAAUCACUAAUCUGAAUUUUCAGGAUACCCAAUAGGUGCAACCAUGAUCAGUAGGAGGGCCUGCUUUCGCAAUUUGAUCCUAUCUCUAAGAACGGGUUCCACUGCAUCUAAGGUAAUCUUCCGCUUGUCAUUUGUUAUUUUUUAUUAUGAUUCCAAGGACCAUUUUCCGAUUUUGAUAUACUCUACUUACUUUGAACCUUUUAUAGAGUUGAAAAUUUUCCUCUGGUUUUUAUCAUUUCAUGUGACUUGUAAGUUUGUCUGGCGAACUUGUGGGGUUUCAAUUGUCUGGGUUUUUUGGUGUCGCAGGUUUGGUAUUGUAUGUGUUUUUUUGGUGCCUUCUUUUAACGUAUAGUUCUUGCUUAACACGUUGCUUUGUAGUUGAUUUCUAAUCUCUGUAUCAAUGUCCUUUCUUUUCUGUGCUUGUCUUUUAUAUUUGUUAUUAUUUUUGUUUUAACAACGUAAAACAAUAGAAAAUCUUGAUCGUAGUUGAAGAAAAGAGGGAGAUGAUUAAUUUAGGGAGAGACUAACCCGGUUGAAUUAGUUUCAGCCCUGGAAAUAGGAAUCUGACGGGGUUCUGAAUUCAACCUUUUGAAUGGUACGCAUAGCUUGGAUCAAACCCGUAGCGGGUGGAACAACCUUGUACAUGAUUGAUCCAACACUUUUAAAUGGUUAUUUUCUUUAAAUGCCGGUUAAAUUGGAGGCCUCAGUGGAUGUGACUUUUAAAUAGAAGACGAUCCACAGAUUUAUCAGAAUUUUGAUUAUUUAUUGAGAAUCAAUAUUUUCCCUUUAGAUACAUUCAAAUAUGUUGACUGGGUUUCUUGUGUAAAAUGUCAGCUAGAGGUUGUAUCAAUGAGUAUUGAAAUCACGCGCCUUUGUUUUGAUUAUAGGCUACAAUUCAUUUCCCAUGUUCCUCAAUGAUCUGUCGUUGAUCCAUCGUAUACAUAAUAAAGAUCAAGAUGAUAAAAAGUACAAACUUAUCUAAUUUUCGUGCAUUUUUGCAGCUUAGAUCUUCCAAUUGCUUUACGUCGAGGACUGCACCUUCCUUGCAGCCACUGGUCGAGCCCUCUCCUUAUAGGUAACUGCACAAAAUGAAGCAAUUUGAUACUAAUUACUUGGUUGUUUCCCUGAAGGUGUCUUCUUCCGUACAAUGAAUCCCACUUUUACCCAACCAGAAUUUGUUAAACAGUUAAUUUUCACUUCUUUGAAGCUCAAGCCCUCUCAAUUAUAAAUCUAUAUUGUUUUGGUGCCCAUAGAUUGCAAUGAUUUCAAGCAGUUUUUCAGGUUUAUUGUUUAAGCCCAACACCAAUUACCUGCAUGAGAUUGUGCAACAUUGUUCAUUUAAUGUAAUUAUAAUUGCUAUACUGCUAGUGAUGAUGAGUAUGCUGAUGUGGACUGGGACAAUCUGGGAUUUGGUCUAAUACCCACCGAUUACAUGUACACAACAAAAUGCUCCGAGGGUGGUAAUUUUGAAGAAGGCCAUCUUAGUCGCUAUGGAAAUAUCGAGUUGAGCCCUUCUGCUGGCGUGUUAAAUUAUGGACAGGUAACUAGAUUGUAUUCUUAAUUACUUCUGCUAAAGCAAACAGCAUAUUUCAUGUUGUAUCUUUUAACUAACUUCAGGGUUCUAAUGUAAAGUUGGUGGUUUUGAAAUCUGAACAGGGGCUGUUUGAAGGCACCAAAGCCUAUAGGAGAGAAAAUGGGCGCCUCUGCCUCUUCCGCCCUGAUCAGAAUGCCAUCCGUAUGCAGGUUGGUGCAGAAAGGAUGUGCAUGCCUUCCCCGUCCAUCCAUCAUUUUGUAGAAGCUGUGAAGCAAACCGCUCUCGCUAACAAGCGCUGGGUAAUUGUUUUACCCUGAUUGUUCUAAUCUAUGUUGCAUCAGAAGCUCUAUGCGUUCAUUUAAUGAUUAUGUCUUUUCUACUGGUUUAUAAAUUUUUUGUUUUGUUUUGAUGUGGAGCAGAUUCCUCCUCCAGGGAAAGGGUCACUGUAUAUUAGACCUUUGCUCAUGGGAAGUGGACCCGUAUUGGGUUUAGGCCCAGCACCUGAAUGCACAUUCCUCAUAUAUGCUUCCCCUGUUGGCAACUAUUUCAAGGUGGGGUUUCUUAUUUUAUCAAAGCCUGGUUUUGGUUCGGCUCAGAAAAGAAGAACUUAUAUGCUCUGUUGAUUCAUUUUGUAGCAGGUUUCGGCACCAUUGAACCUAUUUAUUGACGAUGAGUAUCAUCGUGCAACUCGUGGAGGGGCUGGAGGGGUAAAAGCCAUUACCAACUAUUCUCCUGUAAGUGAAUCAUUGUCUCAUUUAGUUGUAGAAGAAGCUCAUUGGUUUCAACACCUUGAAUGCCACAAAAUAUGCUCAUUUUCAAAAAAUGACUUGUGUCUAAAGUGUUAGGUUAAUAGGUUGUAGCAUCGAAUAUAGUUUCUAUGGAAUGUAAAUUAUUUCUUAUAUACGAAAGUGGCUACUAGUGCUUGCUACCAAAUUAUUGAUGCCCCCCUCGAAACUAUGUUAUCUAUUACAUCACAUCCUUUCUUGUCUUGUGUAGGUUUUGAAAGCACAAAGUAGAGCAAAGAGUAGAGGGUUCUCUGAUGUGCUAUUCCUUGAUUCAGUGAAUAAGAAAAACAUCGAGGAGGUCUCUUCUUGUAACAUCUUCAUUGUGAAGGUACUGUUGAAAUUACAUUUCUCAUUGAUUUAAUUUUUCUCAUCUGGUGCCUAAUUGUUAUCUUCACUGAAUGUAACUCUAACAAAGAAGUGAAAACAUAAGUGAUUAGCAGCUUAGAUUGUUCAAAACAACUUGGGCAGAGAAUUUUGAAACACAUAUCCUUCAGUUUAUUCCCUGCCAUUGUAUUUCUCUCGAAAUUGGAUAGAUAUAGAGGCAGAGCUUAGAGUGUACUUUUCCACCAUUUCAGGAUAAUGUUAUUUCAACUCCAGCUACAGGAGGAACUAUUCUUGAAGGAGUGACUCGAAAAAGCAUUAUUGACAUUGCUCUUGAUCAUGGUUACCAGGUGAAUGUCCAGUAACUUGGUAAAAACAAGAAGCCAGUUUCUGUGCUUAUAUGUUCUGACAAUUUCCCAAAUGGGUUAGGUUAAGGAGCGAUGUAUUCCGGUGGAGGAAGUGAUGGAAGCCGAUGAAGUUUUCUGCACCGGAACCGCUGUUGGUGUAGCUGCGGUGGGAAGUAUUACAUAUCAAGGCAAAAGGUAAAUAGCCAUACUUAAGAUCAUGAAGAACCUCUGCAAGAAGGGAAAUAUUAAGUCCAUACUUAGUGUUGCAUGCCAAUCAUUUUCCUUUGUUGAUGAAUUAAAUAUUAAUGCGCAGGGUGGAAUACAAAUCGGGUGAUCGGUGUGUGAGUCAGGAACUGUUGUCAAUGUAUACGGGGAUUCAAAAAGGUCAUAUUGAGGACAAGAAGGGCUGGAUUCUGGAGAUUGACUAAGCUUUACAUCCACCUCACAUUCAGUGCACCCAACACUUGUACAUCGUGCUGCUAAGAGCAUGGUAUUCCAUAUUCCUAAUAAAAUUGAUGUUUAGACCAAAAGCAUGGACAUCUAAAUUGGGUUUCGUCUUUGUGAAUCCUUACCCCCCUCCGAAACUAUAUCCCAUUCAACCUUACUUUCCCUCCUAUAAUCCUAUCACUUAUCCUUAACUCCCCUGCCUCCACAGGCCCACCCACUCUUCCACAUUUUAAUAACUAAUAUAAGUUCAAAUUCACAUCAUUCAAUAUGGCAACUGGCGCUAGCAAAAAGUCAUGUCUAUAAUAAGAGUAUAUAUUAUGGAGCCAUCUCUAGUAGGAGUCUGGAUCAAAGUUGUGUCUUCAUGUUAUUGAAAAAUGAUUUUCAAAAAAUGAAAUCACAUUCUAAAAAAUCAAUUGCCAAGUAAAAAUCAUGAUUUUAAAAAUAAAAAUUAUGAUUUAAGAAAAUGAUUUUCAUGGAAGUGACCUCGUGGGAUGAAAGAGCUUUAAAAACCUCUUCCACAGGUUAUGGUUCAGCGUUACAAGUAUUUUGUAAUUGUUCUUAAAGAUAGUUUUUGCUUUCAUUAGAGACGAAGGAUUGAGAAAAAAAUUAGAGAGGAAGGAAAAAAGCAAAUAAAUGAAAAAUUGAUUUAAAAUUUUGUCUUAAUUUUUUUUAAAAUAAAAAUUAUUUUGAAAUCCCACGUAAAACAGGCCCUAAAAGUCUCUUCGCCAAAAUGCAAAACUUUAAAAAUAAUUGAACGUGCGAAAGUUUUUUAUUUUGUAAAAGCAUUAAAUGACAUCUAGGUCUGCCCCGAUCUUCCUUCAUCUACCGCGCUCUGGGUUGUCACAUCGCAUGACAUCACACAAAAUCGAUCAAGCUCCAUAUUCUCUCUAAACCUUUUCAAAAGUAUCAAAACUAGAUCUUAUAUGCUUUCAUGCGUCUCUAUUGCCGCGCAAACUAGGGAUGGCAACGGGCCCCGCCCCGUUUAACUUUUUUAUUUUUAUUUUUAUUUUUUAAUUACUUUUAAAUUUGUUAAUUACAUUAAAUUAAAAUAUAUUUUAUAAAUAAUUAAAUUAUUAUAUAUUUUUAUCUUAUUUUAUUAAUUUAUAAAUUAAAAAUAAUAAAAUAAAUUUUAAUUUAAUUUAAUUUUAUAAAUAAUCAGAUGAGAUGAGAAAUACAAAACAGUACUCGAACUCACCUGAAUCUGAAU
rnacentral:lncRNA from 1 species